UGACAGAAUGGUUUGGUGUUAAGACAUCUGUUUAUAGACCAAUGGUAGGGUUGUAGUUGCUCUUGUCUGAUGAAAUUGGAGAGAAACAUGAGGUGGAAUACUUUCCUUAGAAAGGUAGGUUUCUAUGGGGAAGUAAUGAGUGCUGCUAGUACAUGAAGGGCUAAAAAAGGACACUAAACUCAAGUAUUUCUUCUUCCCCCAACUACAAACUCAUAUUGACCAAGUAGGUUCACAGAGACUCCUCUUUAAAAAAGCAGCAUCUGAAAACAAACAGAAUCUCCUAUUUCACAUAUUGCUUUCUACUGAAAAGAUUUUGGAAAUGUCAGAGGGAAUUUCUUAUUUCCUCAAUGACUGUCAUUCAAUUUCAUGGGGAAGAACACAGAGAUGGAGAGGAUAGAAAUGGAGAAAUCUGGUGGCAAAUAUUUUACUGAUUUAUCUGAGAAAUUCCAUACAUAUAGAUAAUUGGUCCAUUUGUAUUCCAUACAAAACCUAAAAUACUCCUUACUGACAAGGAAAUUU
rnacentral:lncRNA from 10 species